UUGUAAAGUCUUACGGUGCCAAAAGAAGACGUUGAUGAAACACAUGAUAAGUCCUGGUAAAAUGAUUCGGCUGGCAUACUCUGACCCAAAGGCACCCAAACCGAGAUGGAAUGAACAGAAACGAAGCCAGCAUUAAGUAAGCCCAUUAAAGGUGGCCAGAGUAGUUCUUAUUAGAAAUGUGUGCUGUUGAAUUGUACCCAAGACAAAGUAACUAACAUCAAACUGAUCCCUCACUUCCUUAUGCCGCCUUGGACGUCAACCAUCUCCAAGCGAUCUCGGAUUAUCCUGACCCGCGUUACAAUUACACCUUCUGGGAAUCUGGGUGUUAUUGAGGUGAAAUGCAUGGCGGUCAGUAUGUAUCAGGCUGCUAGUGGAGCUGCUGCUGCUAUGAUAGAGCUUGAGCAGCAAACUCAUGAGGUUCUGGAAGGGAAGCCAGUAACUUCUGAGAUAUUUCAGCGGCAGAAUGACAAGGAUGUCAAGGAACUGUCACUUGCAUGCGAGUUCCUGUAAUGCAGGCACAUGCUGAGAGUGUAAAUCGUGAAUUUGAGAAUCUCCUUGAUGAGGACACCGCAAGGGAUAUUCGGAAGAAGGCUCCUGGUGUGGUGGUUAUUGAUGACCAUACAGCUAAUAACUUCCCUACACCUUUGGAGGUGUCAAACAAAGAUGAUGUUGCGGUUGGCAGAAUCAGCCGUGAUGUGUCCCAGGAGGGGAACUAUGGGUUGGACAUCUUUGUCUGCAGUGAUAAAAAAUGCAAGGAAGCUGUACUUAAUGCUGUUCAGAUUGCUGAGCUGUUGCUAUAGUUAACCUAUGAUUUCAAGGGAGUAGUGUUUGAAGCCUUUACAUUAGGCUUGCCAGCCAAGGUUGGUUAGAUCAAUAGCGUAGUCUAUGAUGGUGAUGGUCUAUGAUGGGAAAUUGCUGGCUCCAAGCUUCCAACGACUUUCAGAGCAAGUUCGUCUAUCCUUUUCUUUUACUGUUGCUUUUUAAAUUCUAGGCACUGUUUUAUUCUUAUUCACUUUCACUCGCUCAAGUUAAGGAUGCUCUCUUGUCUAAACCUUGCUCAACAAGGAGUGAAGUUCUUGAUCAUGGGGAACAUAGGUGCCCACUUUCCUUUUCCCCUUGGAGAGAUUCUAGAAGAUUCUUGGCUUGAACUUCGCAUAAGGGUUAAGGCAUUGUGACUCAUUGGUCCCUUAACUUGCAGAACAUUCUUGGCCAAAAAGUUCACUUUCAACAUCAUUUAAACAAAAUAA